rnacentral:rRNA from 1 species
AUGAGGAACUAUUUUGCGGAGAAUCCCACAUACCCCGUGUCCUACUUUCGGCGUCGUUUUAGGAUGAUCAUCGAGUUGUUCAAACACAUUACAGAGAGACUGGCGAGCCAUGAUCGGUUUUUUUAGCAAAUGAGGAAUGCCGUCGGAGAACUCGGGCAUAACACCUUUCAAAAGGUGAUCGCCACUUUGCGUAUGUUGGCAUAUGGUAUUCCGGCAGAUCGAAUCGUGCAAGUGUUUGGUCCGGAAUUUUUUGAGAGCUCCCAAUGCUGA